rnacentral:rRNA from 1 species
UUGAAAGUAAAGUCGUAACAAGGUUUCCGUAGGUGAAC